GACGGCGCGACCAGGAGCGCCGUCCUCGGAACAAGAAAGCUGCCUGCCUGCCUGCCUGCUAGCCAGCCACCCCAAGUUCCCUUCUAGGUUUUCGAGCGGCAUCCUUUUGGGCACGAGCGUAGACACCCGGUAGACGAGCAGCGACCCACUUCCCUUGCGAACGUUUCUGGGCGUUGAUCGUACCUUGGCAGUCGACCCUCCCUGCGGGCGAACGAAAAAGCAACCCUUUCGAGAUCGUUCGAAAAUCAGGAGUUUAUCCGGAAGAAGGAGAAAAGGCCGCUGCUCUUUUCUCUCUCGUUUUCACCGAAGGCGCGCGAUGAGUCCGUUGCGGGAUCCACAGCGCCGACGUGUACCAGCGACGCGUACCAAGGCGUUAUCGCACGUGACCGUAUGGUUCCGUUGGAUUUUCUGGAGGCACUGUUUCUAGCUACUGAUCAAGUUUGUUCUGAGAUAAGCUUAAAUGAUUUUUGAAAUUGUUUACUGCAGUUUCUUAUGCAUCGUUGAUUGCAUUAUGACGCUUGGCUUUUAUCUAGAAUAUGGGAGUAACGUUACAAGUGGCUAGUCUGGAUAAUUUUUGGGGAUAAAGUUCAACAAG